CCUGGUAAUUUCGAGAAGCUUCAGGCCUUCAGGGACCUCUGUCAGUGUCCGCCAAUUCUGGAGAUUUUCUUCAGCGUCUCGCGCCAUUUAUCAGCCCAAUCGAUUCUUCUAUCCGUGUUCAAAGUCCUCAGCUGAUUAUUGUGAUUGCUGACCCUUAUUUAUCUGCUGUAAAUUGAAGCGAGGCAAACAUGGCCGGUGGCGGGAAUUUUAUGGCCAGGGUCAUCUCCUACGUGGUAAAUGAAUUGGUUGUCAACAGUCUUGCUAACAGCCCGGCAUUUCAGAGAUUUGCUGUGAGGACAUCAAAGAAAAUCGGGGAUAUUGCCACUAAAGGAGCUCAGGUGAAGGAGGGGGCAGCAGAGCUUUUCAAGGACCUCUCGAAAGAUAUGGAGUCGUUUAAGAAGCAGUGAUUGAUUGGUGUAGCUGGGAAAAACAACGCACAUAACCUCUGCCAAGGAUUGAGCUGAUGGGGACAGACAAGCUGUCAUCUCUCUCUCUCUCUCUGUUUUUUUUUUCCCCGACCGAGGGUUAGUUUAUAUUUGCUCAUUUCUCGUGAUCUCAAACUCAGCAGGAAGGAAUGCAUAUAUGAUUAAUGCAUGUGAAGUUCCUUUGUUUAUCUUGUUCAUAGUUGCAUUUAUCAAAGAAGAGGUUAGGAGCUCAAAUCUGAAUAAAUGCAAAGCUCAAUCACUUUUGAGAUUUGAAGAUGUAUUUAAAGGAAGUUGUUGGCAAAA